UUGAUAGGUUGUAGGCUGUUGAGGGACGUUCGCCCUUCGUAGUGACCGGAAUAUUCUGAAAACCGCCACAGGAGCGUAGUAAGGGUUUGACGGCUGGUAGGAAAAUGCGCUCCACGUUUCCGGAGUGAAUCCAUAAGCAUUGGCGAAAUACUCGUCCGAUUGCUGUCUGGAAGCCGCUAAUUGCUGCUGCUCGUUUGGUCCAUCACAAGCACUGGUGACGUGUAGCAUCAAAGCCAAGCAAAGAAUUAGAGAAACUGUUGACAUUUCGACUGUCAGUUCGAGCUUUGCGUCUUUAGUCAAAGUUACUCUAACCUGUUAACGGCUGUCACAGAGAUGGAAAGUCGUCCGGAGUUCCAUCGUCUUAUAUACUGCGAAAAGGACUCACCAAUUGUCACUCAAGUUCAGAUUUCAGGGUUCCGCCCGAGGAAGCAGCCACACAGACUCCGAAAGCAGAAGAGCAGAGUUUAAACUAACCUUUUGCGCAGGUUUUUGUCAACAGCCAAUUUCCGUGAACCGUGAACUUGAGCACUUCCAUCUCUGCGGAAUUCAAGUUUAUGAGAGUUCACUGGAAUACUAACCGAUCGCACAGUUGAAUGGAAAGUGGUAAAACAUGUCCGCACUCUCACUGGCACUUUCUGCUUUUAUCUGAUGUAUCAGCCGUUUUCGACCGACAUUAACGCAACAGCACUUUGCUGAAAAGUUUGGCGCAUUUCAAACUUACAUCCAUUACCGGUAAAAUGUAAGGAACUCAGCAGCGCAAGGCGUCGCCAUUCGACAUUCAAGAUGUUAUCCUGUGACCAUUAAAACCAAUAAAAGCUUAGAGUGCCAGCCAGGCCGAUGAAAAUGAUAAAUUUUCUGGAACAAAGGAAUUUAAGGAGCGGAAGCAAGUUCCUGAAUAAAGUUAGCUGAUGAACUUUGGACGUCCAGUGGCGGAGUAGUUUUUCCAGCCGAGCAGGGGACCUUCCGGCGCAUCCAGUGGAAGAUACGUGGACUAAAGAAGUCGCCCAAAUUAAAAUUGGAUAAAUGAGCAUUCCACUGGUGAAAUCGGGAAUAAUGAACUCUGCUGGGAAAACAAGUCGAGGAUUUGCAUUUCAACAUUUGGAUUUGUGUCUGGCGAUCGCUUAUUCAUCUUCUUGAUAUUGGUCUAAACGACUAAACUGCUCAAGGCUUCCAACAGCAGAUACUCUCUCUGUAGUAGUAGGCGGUCGAGUUGCAUAAAUUGGCAACGCCGUUUUCACCAAAGUACAAUUUAUACUUGGUAAUACCAUCUGAUUAAGUGGCUUGAAACUGAUGUGUACAACAUUUUCCCAAAUCUCGUCUCUUCUCUCUUGCAGCAUGUACCGGCUGUACGUUUCGUUACAUGGAAAACAAACUGCAGAACAAUAAAAGUCAUUCUGAGCUUCUUCAUUGCAAUCCGAUGUGCACAUGGAUUUGUUGCAGCCAGCUGGUGGAAGGUGUUACUCUUUCAGGCUUGCUAUCUGUAGCGGUUGAAGCUUUCAUUACAUGCAGAAACACUACAGAACAAUUUAAAGAUUAACAGCCUGGUGAAGUAGUUUUUACGUCUUGGGAUUUCAUCAGUAACAGUUCUUUCAAUCAUGUAGUUAAUUAUGGAUGCUGUAAAGGGAAUAAGGUUGCAACUUGCAAGAUACACGAUAGAUAGAUGCACACAAGAUAGAUUAUUGAUACAGAAAAAACAUUUCUUUCGGUGGAGCGUACAAAGUUCCUAGCUACCAGACAAUUUCUUCAGAAUUUUUGGGUUUAUCUUGUUCCCGUAGUUGCUGUCCGAUGUGGCUCGUUGUUGCAGCCUAUGCUGGUGAAAAAUCAUUUUUGCAUCAAGUUAAACUGGCUCUUCCUUGGUUCUAGUGUCGUGUUACGGAAGUUGAAUCAUUAUUUUGUUAAAUUGUCAUUGUAUCUGCAGUCUAUCGUUUGAAUGUUAAGAAAGAACAAAAACAGAAAUAUGGGGAUGUGUUAAGUCGAACAAAUAAACAUGUUUUUGGGAUUGGGAAAGGAAAGUAGAGGAUGUUGGAGGGGUAAGGAUAUUUCAAGUUUGGAUAAAAAUCUGUUAAUUUAUAACCCUACAAACAUAUCCCUAUUACCUAACUAAUCUCUAAACCCCACAAACAUAUACCUUCCAAUUCUUCAAACCCCACAAACAUACAUACACCUACUAACCUCCAAUUUUAUACCCUAAACCCCAUGAAACCAAUGUUAAACCUUAAUGAUGUAAUACCUGUAAUAAAUAAAAAAAGUAAAUACUAUUAGAACCAAUGUUUAUUUAUUUUUU